UACGUAGGGUGCGAGCGUUAAUCGGAAUUACUGGGCGUAAAGCGUGCGCAGGCGGUUUUGUAAGUCAUAUGUGAAAUCCCCGGGCUUAACCUGGGAAUGGCAUUUGGGACUGCAAGGCUCGAGUGCGGCAGAGGAGACUGGAAUUCCUGGUGUAGCAGUGAAAUGCGUAGAUAUCAGGAGGAACACCGAUGGCGAAGGCAGGUCUCUGGGCUGACACUGACGCUCAUGCACGAAAGCGUGGGGAGCAAACAGG
rnacentral:rRNA from 1 species